GGCUCAUCUACAUAUUACCCUCCCCAGACCCCACUUUGUGGGAUUAUACUGGAUAGUUGUUAUUGUUAUUGUUGUUGUUCUAAAACUAAAGAAGAACAAAUGAAUAAAACAAAUUGAAGAAAUAAUCAGGAAAUUAUAAACAGCGAACAAAAAAAGAAUCAAACAUAUAACGAUUUCAAAUUCGAGAAUAUCAAACAAAAUACGGACAGAAAUGAAACUUAAACCAACUAACCAGAUCGGAACAACGACGAAAUUGAACAGAAACAAAUAUGCUCGGAAACUUUGAAUCAAAAUAACUUGAAUCUGCCCGGAACUUUUUUGUAUGUUUUUCCGUUUGAUUUUAGGCGAUGAAGCUGGAUGACGAACAUGGUGUUCACUUCGUGGAACAGGGUGAAGCUCAAGCAGAAACGGUGUGGUGGGGGGUGGGGUCGGGCUGUUUCAGGUCUUAUGGACGUUAACAGUGGGUGUUUAGCGUGGGGUUGUGACGCUUCUUGACGACGAUAGGCGGACAUCGGCUAGUGACGGUUGUGACUGGUUUGUUGGCCGUGAGGUGAAGGAUGACCAGUUGUUUGGACGAGGGCUGGAGUGAGGUGGAACGAGAGGGGAUGUUUGUUUGGUCCGGGUGCUGGUCGGGAAGGGAUAACUUGGUCGUUUGGGUGAAAGAGGUGGGCGGUGGUUCAUUGGUGUUUGACGAGUGACGAAGGAGCGAAAACGGAUGAAGGUCUCGUUGGUAGUCGAUUGGCAGACUCCUUGGGGGACGACGAUAGAGGGGUAGGGGGGGUUAGCCUGGGUGUUCAUGGCAACGUGUGUGGCUAUGGUGGUUUAGGGUUUGAGGGUGUGUUUGGAGAAGAUGAAGAAAAAGGGGUUAGGUUUUUUUCUUCUCAUAGUUCAAAAAAUGAGAGACAAAUCUGAU
rnacentral:lncRNA from 1 species